rnacentral:lncRNA from 1 species
AAACCGGACCACACCACGUUAAAAGGGCUAAUAUCCAACAUUUUGCCUGUUAUUUUUUUUCUGUCUGGGGCGUAUUUGGGGUUUUAUUACGUUAUUUUAUUAUUUUACAAAAAUAUAAUAUAUAUUCAGUCCCAUUCAGUGGCAUUAAUUUAUUAACUUAAUGAAUGGUCAAAUACAUAAUUUUUAUUAUUUGUGUUACUGUACCAUUAAAGAAACAAUAAAUAUAUACUAAACGACAUUGUAAACAUUUGAAAUAGCAACCAAAGUUCAAUCUCAAAACACGCCACAUAUUCCUGAAGUGCGAAGCUCACAUGGAUUGCCAAGUAGAGGACACAGAACCUACAUGAAGAACUUUUGCACUUGCAACAUACAGUAUAAUCACAUUCCUAGCUAAAAUCAGUCCAAAUUCCAGUCCUUAACAUGUUGUUGUAGCAUAACAAUACUAGUGUAAGCCAGCAGCACUAGUCUGGACCACUUUAUCUAACUCAAAUAAUACUCACUGCCUUAAAAAAAAAACAUCUGCAUCCAAUGAACCAGCACUGCAAUCCUUCUGGGAUCUAAAUGGUCUCCAGCUAUCAAAUCUAUUGCCAUUGACUACUGCUUUACUGCUUUAUUAUUAUUUUUUUUUUUUGAUUAUGUAGCAAAUAUUUCUGUUUGUUUUGCUCUUAACAGCGCCUAUUAUGUUAUUGCUGGCAAUAACAGUUCCGUAAUACCAAACCCGAGGUUUCUAGAAAUAGAGCGGCCACAAAUGGUAUACAUUCCUGUUUGGUAAUCCUUACUUUUGGGUUAAAGAAUCAAUCUGGCCUACAUUUAGCAUUUAUCAUUUUAUUGGUUGUGUUGCAAUAUUAUGUAGUUUAGCUUAGCUUAGCUUAGUAUAGCAUCGCUCCACAAUACACACCUGGAACGUCUUCCACUGCUUUUAGCAAUAAUGUUCUGUUUUCUAUAAACAUUGAUAUUCUGUCAUCAUGUAUUAAUUCGAUGUGCAGUUCUGCCUCUGUUAGCUUUAAACCAUACUGUGAAGAUCUGUAAUUGAUGUUUCUUCCUCACUUACUUUCAUUCAUUAAAUUAUAGCUUUCUUUAAAUUCUGUUUAUUUUUGUGUCAUUUUUUAUUAAAUAAUUAAAUCAAAGGUCUGCAAUAAAGGGUUUAAUAUGGUGGAGGUAGAUUCA